ACUUUGAGCUAACCUCCCCGUACCCAAAAAUACACUUUUCUAUCAAACAUCUACCUCCCUCUCGCCUGAUUCCCCUUUCUCGCCCAACUUCCAUGACUAUGACGCUGCCGCCACCGCCGCCAAUUGUUUUGAGGAACAUACUAGCGCCACCACAAGCCAUCCACACCGCGAGUCCCCAGCCCAUGAUGGCCGCAGCAGGCCACCAUGCGUGCGCGAGCAGCCGCCGCUGCCGAACUGGCCUGGCCAGAUCUGGGCCCAAGCGUACAUGAGAGCAGCAGCUCCGUGCACCACCGACCACCGCAUCCACCGUACCUCUCCGCUGCAAGCAGGCACCAGCGCCGGAGCCCUGGAGGAACCACCCCGCCGCCGUGGCCCCCCACCGCGUAGACCACUACCUGCCUCCACGAGGUCCCCCAACUCGUGAGCGCGACACUUGACUCCGGGAGAAACAGAUCUCGCCGGGGCGGCUCUGCACGGGAUUUGACUGUCGGAGGUUGGUGGUGAUGGAGAGAGGGAGGAGGUGGAGCCAGCAACAUUGUAGGGCCGGUAACAACACACAUCUUGAGAGACAUGCACAAUUCCUCCGAAUCAUUGUAAUCUUUAACUGUUUAUUCCAUAAGAGCACGUUCUGGACAAAUUGAUAUGCAACUUCGAACUAUUGGUAUCACAGGUUUUGGUGGUAACACAUGCUCACCUUCAGUUCAAACCAACAACAAUGAUCAUGAACUGGUACCCUGUUUGUUUAUUUGGAGCACACACAGAUGAAUCGUGGUGCACACCAUUGCAUAGUGUCGAAGUAUGGAUUGUAACCUUCCUGUUAUAUACACAAGUGAUUUAUUCUGAACCCUAGUGCCACGGGUGUCUGGCAUGAUUCUCUCACCAAUGGUUUCUAGGCCCACUACCUCGCGUCUGCACACGAGUUGCUGCGCUUAGGCCUGACGGUGUUGUGCCUCGCAGGCUACCUAUGUCGGCGCUUAAUCUUGACUGCAGGUUGGAUCUGACACAAAUUGCCUUAUGGGCGCGUAAUGUAGCUACGGUUCAGUUGUUGAUGAUUCCCCCCUUCUGUUUUCAAGAUAAAACAUGCAUUGAACAUAUGAUUAACUCUAUUGACAUCUAUGCAGGAGCUCCAGGCUUCCUCUACAUUGGCUUCGGGUUGUCAUACCAUGAAAUUUCCAAGCACUGCAAAUCAAUUCUGCGCUGAAGUUGUACUGCUCCAUGACAAGUAGAUGAAAGCUAACAGUUUGUCAGUCUCUAAAUACUUGGAGUAGCUGUGAUUUUGCUUCAGGGCAGAUAGAUAUGUACAGAUUACUACAUCGUCGGAGAGUAAGGUAACCCAUUCGCUCAUCGAUUAGAUUGUGGUGGUGUUGCGGUCAGAGUGGAACCAAACUUCCUAUAGCGGCUCAGUAUAGUAUGAUCAUGCUAUCCAGCAAGGCUGCGUCAGGGGCUCAGGCCAGGCAUGAUGGCAAGCAGAGUGGAUUAGAAAGUUAUCCAACAACACCCCUUUUCCAUUUCACAGUUAACAAUGCCAACUGCCCCAAAUCUGAUGAUGUGUUCCUUUUUCAUGUUGUUCCCUCUACAGGUUCUGAGAAUGCACUCAUGGAUUGAAAAUUUCUAAUGCCCGAAGUUGUAGUUCUCAGGUUGAUGAGAAGUUCAAUACUAGGUGAUUACUUGGAUCCUUGGAUAAUUUAUGCUGAUCUUUGGUACUUGGAGGAGAGUGAAGACAGUUCACAGAAUUUUAGAAAUUUAUAUGCUUUAAAAUGUUUCAUUUUCUAGGAAAUUGAUGUAGUCCUAAUAGACGAUACUUGCAUUGCAAUGUAACAAAUUAUGCCUUUGAAUCAAUAUAUUAGUUUCAUUUCUACGAA